GCGAACGCUGGCGGCAGGCCUAAUACAUGCAAGUCGAGCGGUCCCUUCGGGGGCAGCGGCGGACGGGUGAGUAACGCGUGGGAACGUGCCCUUUGGUACGGAACAACUGAGGGAAACUUCAGCUAAUACCGUAUGUGCCCUUCGGGGGAAAGAUUUAUCGCCAUUGGAGCAGCCCGCGUUAGAUUAGCUAGUUGGUAGGGUAAUGGCCUACCAAGGCGACGAUCUAUAGCUGGUCUGAGAGGAUGAUCAGCCACACUGGGACUGAGACACGGCCCAGACUCCUACGGAGGCAGCAGUAGGGAAUCUUGCGCAAUGGGCGAAAGCCUGACGCAGCCAUGCCGCGUGAAUGAUGAAGGUCUUAGGAUUGUAAAAUUCUUUCACCGGGGACGAUAAUGACGGUACCCGGAGAAGAAGCCCCGGCUAACUUCGUGCCAGCCGCCGCCGUAACAC
rnacentral:rRNA from 1 species